rnacentral:rRNA from 1 species
UCUUUCGGAGAGUUUGAUCCUGGCUCAGGACGAACGCUGGCGGCGUGCCUAAUACAUGCAAGUCGAGCGGAUUGAUGGGAGCUUGCUCCCUGAAAUCAGCGGCGGACGGGUGAGUAACACGUGGGUAACCUGCCUGUAAGACUGGGAUAACUCCGGGAAACCGGGGCUAAUACCGGAUAGUUCUUUUCCUCGCAU